rnacentral:misc_RNA from 1 species
AACGCACAUUGCGCCUCUUGGUAUUCCAGGAGGCACGCCUGUUCGAGCGCCAUCACAAACUCCAAGCGUGGCUUGAUGUUGGACGGUGUCGGGAGGAGACUCUUGACACGUCUGGAACGCGUGGGCGCCGCCGCCAGACCACGAGCGUAGCAAGACGAAAAAAAGUCGAUCGUUCGGAUUGGGAGCUGGCGGUGGCCGUCUGGGGGUGGCCUCUUCGUUUUUUCCUUCCAGUGGGAGGGGGGACGGGAGGACCGCCGAACCUCAAGAAGUUUGGCCUCGGAUCAGGCGGGGAUACCCGCUGAACUUAA